CAGAGCGUGAGACUCUGCCCGGGCGCGUCCCGCGCGCAGAGUUGACCCUCCACCCGUGUUGACUGAUUUCAUGUUGCUUUGGCGGGCCCGGUGCUUUGCGCCGACCGGCUUCGUGCUGGCUCGUGUCCGCCAGAGACCCAACCUAACUCGUGUUGUCGUGUCGUCUGAAGUAGAAUUAUAUUGAAUUGUUAAAACUUUCAACAACGGAUCUCUUGGCUCUGGCAUCGAUGAAGAACGCAGCGAAAUGCGAUAAGUAAUGUGAAUUGCAGAAUUUAGUGAAUCAUCGAAUCUUUGAACGCACAUUGCGCCCCUUGGUAUUCCGAGGGGCAUGCCUGUUCGAGCGUCGUCACACCCCCUCAAGCCGCGCCGUGUGUGUGGUUUGGUGUUGGGGCUCGCCAGUUCGGCGGCCCUUAAAGACAGUGGCAGGGUCGCUGUGGUCUCUACGCGUAGUACGAUUCUCGCGACAGAGCUGCAGCGACUACGAGCCAACGAAACCCUUUUUUUUUUUUUCUUUGAAGGUUGACCUCGAAUCAGGUAGGGAUACCCGCUGAACUUAAGCAUAUCAAUAAGCGGAGGAAAAGAAACCAACCGGGAUUACCUCAGUAACGGCGAGUGAAGCGGUAACAGCUCAAAUUUGAAAUCUGGCUCCUGCGGAGUCCGAGUUGUAAUUUGUAGAAGAUGCUUUGGGAGGUAGGACCGGCCUAAGUUCCUUGGAACAGGACAUCAGAGAGGGUGAGAAUCCCGUAUGCGGCCGAGGCCUAUGCCCGUGUAAAGCUCUUUCGACGAGUCGAGUUGUUUGGGAAUGCAGCUCAAAAUGGGUGGUAAAUUUCAUCUAAAGCUAAAUAUUGGCCAGAGACCGAUAGCGCACAAGUAGAGUGAUCGAAAGAUGAAAAGCACUUUGGAAAGAGAGUUAAACAGUACGUGAAAUUGUUGAAAGGGAAGCGCUUGCACCCAGACUUGGGCGUCGUCGAUCAUCCGAGGUUCUCCUCGGUGCACUCGGCGAUGCGCAGGCCAGCAUCGGUUUGGGUGGUUGGAGAAAGGCCUCUAGGAACGUAGCUCUCUUCGGGGAGUGUUAUAGCCUAGGGCGUAAUGCAGCCCAUCCGGACCGAGGACCGCGCCUUUGGGCUAGGAUGCUGGCGUAAUGGUUGCAAGCGACCCGUCUUGAAACACGGACCAAGGAGUCUAACAUCUAUGCGAGUGUUUGGGCGUUAAACCCAUACGCGGAAUGAAAGUGAACGUAGGUGAG
rnacentral:rRNA from 1 species